UCGUUUUCUGGUCUAAAUCAAGUCGGCCCGUCAUGGCCAUCUUUUAGACCAAAAAGCGACGUUGAAAAUUGGUCUUCAUUUGGUCCGUCGGAUUUGGUCCAAAUUAAGCCCAAAAAGCGACGUUGAAAAUUGGUCUUCGUUUGGUCCGUCGGAUUUGGUCCAAAUUUAGCCCAAAAAGCGACAUUUAACGUCUUUUUUUUUUUUUUUUUUUAAUUUAGCCCAAAAAUAGAUGUAAAUGGGCUUUAGUCCAAAUUUAGCAGAAAAAAAAACUUUUAUUUCGCACCACAAAGCCAUUAACAUAAACUAGUGAAGAAAUUAGACAUCAUGUCUGAUCGCACUGUUAAAUAUAUUUAAAUAUAUUUUGAAAACACUUGAUGGUCACGCGCUGUACUGGAGUCACCAUGGAAACGGGGCUCAGCUCAACCGUCAAGCAGCUGAACAGACGCUGUCUCUCAUGGUUGUUUUCACUAAUUUCAGUUUAUAGAAAUGGUCAGUGUCUUCAUGAAAAGUCCGUUAGCAUCUCAACUGUAAUGCUAACUACAAGAGAUUCUUCCAUGCUGAUGGCCGUGCCUGUAUCCAGCUGAAGAACAUUUUUAGACAUUAUGAAACAUAUAACUAAGACUGAAAAUCAUUGAUAAACCACAAGCUCCAACCCCAGUUAAGCAGACCUGAGCAGCCGAUCAAGGAUCAGCAGAAACUCUGCAGAACGGUGCUCCUCCAGCCCAGGACUGGACACCAGUGUUAGUUUUGCACCAACCUAGUGCAGUGCACCUGAACACAUUAAUCAAGGUCUUCAGUUUUGCUAACUAUAAGUCACAGACAGAUGCUGCAGAAAAAAGAGCGAGGCUAAAGCAUUCAAAGUGGAAACAUCUGCCGUGGCUCAUUAAUCCAGAAUUGGGACGGAGAAAGGAGCAGAAGAAGCAGAAGAUCAGAGAUCAGGCAGAGAUCUACUGGUGCCCCUGUGGGAACCCCAUUUACCUAAUGUGUUAGUUUAACCAAAGAUUUUCCUCACUCACCUUUAUGUUGUUCCAAACCAGACUUUUGUUCAUCCUUGAAACAUAAAUGCAGAACUUUUUAAUGAAAUCUGAGAUUAUUUUCUUUAUAUAAAAUAACACAUUCACACAAGCACCAUGAUGCAUCAGUGUUGCAUUGGCGUGAGAGCUGGCGCUUUUGGUGCUUUUGUGAAAAUCCAUUGGGGAGUCAUAAUUUCUGAAUAGAUUAUUUUUGCUGUUGUUAUUGUUUGUUUGUUUUUUUUUUGUACACAAGGCAUCUGUUAAAAAAAUAUCUUAAUUUGUGUUCUGCACAAAAGGGUGUUAUGGGUUUGGGGCAACAUGAGGGUAAGUAAUUAAUGACAGAAUUAAAAUUUUUGGUUGUUCUAAUGUGGUUAUAAUUGGUCAUAGUUUAUUUGUCUUGAAAAAAUAUAUUUAUACAGAAACAUGGAUUAAUUUGAUAAGUUUAUAGUAAAGCCUUUUAAAUUGAUAAAAAAAAAAAA